rnacentral:rRNA from 1 species
GAUGAAUGCUGGCGGCGUGCCUAAUACAUGCAAGUCGAGCGAACGGACGAGAAGCUUGCUUCUCUGAUGUUAGCGGCGGACGGGUGAGUAACACGUGGAUAACCUACCUAUAAGACUGGGAUAACUUCGGGAAACCGUAGCUAAUACCGGAUAAUAUUUUGAACCGCAUGGUUCAAAAGUGAAAGACGGUCUUGCUGUCACUUAUAGAUGGAUCCGCGCUGCAUUAGCUAGUUGGUAAGGUAACGGCUUACCAAGGCAACGAUGCAUAGCCGACCUGGGAGGGUGAUCGGCCACACUGGAACCGAGACACGGUCCAGACUCCUACGGGAGGCAGCAGUAGGGAAUCUUCCGCAAUGGGCGAAAGCCUGACGGAGCAACGCCGCGUGAGUGAUGAAGGUCUUCGGAUCGUAAAACUCUGUUAUUAGGGAAGAACAUAUGUGUAAGUAACUGUGCACAUCUUGACGGUACCUAAUCAGAAAGCCACGGCUAACUACGUG